UAAUGUAUGGGGAUCUGCCCGAUAGAGGGGGAUAACUACUGGAAACGGUGGCUAAUACCGCAUAAUGUCUACGGACCAAAGCAGGGGCUCUUCGGACCUUGCACUAUCGGAUGAACCCAUAUGGGAUUAGCUAGUAGGUGGGGUAAAGGCUCACCUAGGCGCGAUCUCUAGCUGGUCUGAGAGGAUGAUCAGCCACACUGGGACUGAGACACGGCCCAG
rnacentral:rRNA from 1 species